GGGCCCGCACAAGCGGUGGAGCAUGUGGUUUAAUUCGAUGCAACGCGAAGAACCUUACCAGGUCUUGACAUGUCACUUUUUUCUUGAAAAAGAAAGUUCCCGAGUGAACACAGGUGGUGCAUGGCUGUCGUCAGCUCGUGUCUUGAGAUGUUGGGUUAAGUCCCGCAACGAGCGCAACCCUUAUUCUGUGUUGCUAUUUAUAGGAAACUCAGAAGACUGCCGGUGACAAACCGGAGGAAGGUGAGGAUGACGUCAAGUCAGCAUGCCCCUUAUGUCCUGGGCUACACACGUGCUACAAUGGUUAAGACAAAGAGUUGCGAGCUCGUGAGAGUAAGCUAAUCUAAUAAACUUAGCCUAAGUUCAGAUUGUAGGCUGCAACUCGCCUGCAUGAAGUUGGAAUCGCUAGUAAUCGCUGGUC
rnacentral:rRNA from 1 species